CAAGGAUCCAUAAAACGAGCUAUCUCACAAAGGAGUGCUCUAGACACAAACUAUAAAAAGUCUUAAUGUCUGGCAGGCUGCCCGAACGGCAAGUGAAAACAAAGGCCUCCUACGCACGGACUAUCAGUGACAAGAGAAAGACGGCCAGACAGGCAAUCCCACCAGGAACACUUUCACCUGAGCCGCAGACAAAAGCAGCUGCUGGGGGAAAAGCGCGUGAGUGGAGCAGAGAGAUUUAUUUCUUCUUUCAUUUUCAUUCAGCGCGUACUCACAGUUUUACUGGGUUGCAUCUUUUUCUGCAGUUUUGCCUUACAAAUGUAGUGUUUUGAGAAAGUUGCAAACACUGUAUACUUUUCCCCCCUCUCUCUCUCUCUGUGUGUGUAUGUGUGUGCACUCAUGUUUCCCUGUACAUGUAUGAAUGAGUCAUCCCAGGGUGACCCCACCCUAUGUGGGCGGUUGAUUUGGCGGGCUGGGAGUAUUUGGCCUCCGUCAGUCUGCCUGUCCGAGGCAGCUCAUAACUGGGCUCUUUGUUUCAAAUGUCACUCCUCUCAAAGGAAGGGAAGGCAUCCACUCGCGCUCUUUUUUUUUUGUUUUUUUUUUUUGUUUUGUACUGCCCGACCCACAUAAUAUUACUGCCUGGAACUGGCUGGUAAUCCAACCAAUGGUUCUUUUUUUUUUCCAGCUUGAUUUUAAACAAAGGAGACUCUGAACUUGCAUUGGGUCUUAUUUAUCUUCAAAGAGUUCACAGUUUUGGGACCAAGUCUGUGUGUUCUUUGAGGAAAAUAAAAGGCUGGCGCAUGACUGUGAAGAGCGGAGUACAAGUGAGGAGUGAAAGUAUUUAGUAUCCUUUCCUACGUUACUUCUCGGGGCACAAAAAACUGCUUUUGUGGCAGCGUUUGAAGUUGUUUUGAAACAAAUUUUAGCUUAGCUAACUUGUGCCAAAGCGAAACACAAGCUGAUGAGAAUCUGACUGCUUUCUUUAAACACCUUAAUGUCAUUUCACAGUAGAUUAGAAGUUAUUGCGUCACCUUAUCCAGUAUUCAAGGUUUCACAAAUUCACUAGCUAUUCUAUUAUGUCUGACAACAGUUUUACAUUAUUGGCCAUGUUCUUGCAAUCUGCCUGGAGUAGUGGGAGUAGAUUUUCAUUGCCUAAAUUAAGGUUAAACGUUAACACAUUUGGGUGUUUUUAUGCAGGCCUUCCAUAUUCAGCAUCUCCUCUGACAAGCUCGACUUCAGCAUUAGGAGAAAACAGCAUCUUUACAUCAAAGAGACAGAGAAAAUUUCCACCUUUAAUAUUCAAUAUCCUUCUUUGCAACACAACCAUAAAAGCUCUGCUUUAUAUUGUUUACCAAAGAUGAAAAAUUUAAAGAUCAUGAUAAAUCAUGUAUUUCUUUCAGGGUUGACUGCACCGCAAGGAAGUUUUUUUUUGUUGAAUCAUUAUUUCUUCUUACCCUGGUAGCUCUUGCUUUUGGUCCCAGUCCAAGCCAUCAGAAAACCACAGUUGCAGAGGAAAUGAGUGGCUCUAAAUCCCAUAAAAGGUCAACAGGGUUGAAGCUGCUGAAUACUCACCACUUUACAUCUUUUUGUCACAUCACAUAAAUAUAUAUGUUUAUAUAUUAUUGUUUAUUAUAUGUUAUUUAUUUUUUAGGAGAAGGCUGUCAGGCUGUUCAAAAAGCAAUGCAGAAUUAAAGGAUGAAAGCAAGUUGGAAGAAACCCGACAGUGCGGGUCAGACGUCGCAGUAACCCGCCUCCUUCUGCUUCUGGUCUUCUCUGGUACAAAUGCACAGUUGUCCAGUCAGCCAGCUGGUCAUGACUGUCAGCAGGACCUCGGCUCAGGCUGCGGAUAGAGGCCAGAUGGAAGGAGGGGACACAGAGGAUGAGAGGAGAUCCAGCGGGACAGAUUGUGGACAGAUUGAAAGCAAACAAAUUCAUGAAGUCUUCGUAGGAUUUGAAGUCUCCUCACUUUUUGUGAUGCUUUAGAAAUGUUAACUGCACGAUGCACCGAUAACUGCAGCCGUUGUCUUCGUUUAAAGCUACACUGAAUCACCUUAGACUCUUAGCUAGCGUUACCUUGUAGCAUUGCAGCCUCUAAGUGGUUAGCGAGAGCACAGUUUUCAGCUAGCUCAUUCACAGUGAUUUUUUUUUUUUUAUGGGCCCUGAACGCUCCCUGUUGUUUUUGUCAUUUAGAAAGAACCCAGUCUUUCUACAUGUUUCGCAAAUGUGACUGGUCCAUUUGUGAUGAUUAAAGAUGACCACACUGGUACACUCACGGCAACAAGCAGUCAUGUAACCACAUCAGUCAGUGAGUUACUGUAAGUUGGAUUUCUAACGUAGUGAGUGCUCAAAGUUUACACAGGAAUAUCGGGAAUGAAUAAGAAAGCGUAUUACAUCCAGUAUAUAAUGAUGACAAAUGGAGGUUAAAAGAACAAAAAAAAAAGUAUGAAAAGAGUUUCAAUCGAAGCAUUUGCAGGUCAAAGAGGGACAAACUUCUGGUCUUCAGCUG
ensembl:lncRNA